AGGCGCGUAGCUCAGUGGGAGAGCGCUACCUUGACGUGGUAGAUGUCGGCGGUUCGACCCCGCCCGCGCCUACCA
rnacentral:tRNA from 1 species